rnacentral:rRNA from 1 species
GACGUAGGGCGCGAGCGUUGUCCGGAUUUAUUGGGCGUAAAGAGCUCGUAGGCGGCUUGUUGCGUCAGCUGUGAAAACCCGCAGCUCAACUGUGGGCUUGCAGCUGAUACGGGCAGGCUUGAGUUUGGUAGGGGAGACUGGAAUUCCUGGUGUAGCGGUGAAAUGCGCAGAUAUCAGGAGGAACACCGGUGGCGAAGGCGGGUCUCUGGGCCGAUACUGACGCUGAGGAGCGAAAGCGUGGGGAGCGAACAGG